GACGAACGCUGGCGGCGUGCUUAACACAUGCAAGUCGAACGGAAAGGCCCUGCUUUUGUGGGGUGCUCGAGUGGCGAACGGGUGAGUAACACGUGAGUAACCUGCCCUUGACUUUGGGAUAACUUCAGGAAACUGGGGCUAAUACCGGAUAGGAGCUCCUGCUGCAUGGUGGGGGUUGGAAAGUUUCGACGGUUGGGGAUGGACUCGCGGCUUAUCAGCUUGUUGGUGGGGUAGUGGCUUACCAAGGCUUUAACGGGUAGCCGGCCUGAGAGGGUGACCGGCCACAUUGGGACUGAGAUACGGCCCAGACUCCUACGGGAGGCAGCAGUGGGGAAUAUUGCACAAUGGGCGGAAGCCUGAUGCAGCAACGCCGCGUGCGGGAUGACGGCCUUCGGGUUGUAAACCGCUUUCGCCUGUGACGAAGCGUGAGUGACGGUAAUGGGUAAAGAAGCACCGGCUAACUACGUG
rnacentral:rRNA from 1 species